rnacentral:sRNA from 1 species
UUGAUCACAUUGCAGACUGAGAUGCUCUCUUUAUCCACAGAACAGAUACAGUCCGGGAAACGCCAAUGUAAUGUGCCAGUGUGCCUAAACCCUGACCUGGAGGGACAGCCGCUGGGAAUACGAGGUUGGUUGAGUCACAGGGUAUCAGACUACAGGCCUGA